GCCAGCAGCCAUAUCACCCUGCAACACACAACUGGUAACCCACUGAGGCUAAGCAGGUGUGAAACUGGUCAGUACCUGGGUGGGAGACCUCCUGGGAAAAACUAAGGUUACUGCUGGAA
rnacentral:rRNA from 1 species